rnacentral:lncRNA from 1 species
GGUUAUUGGCAGGAAUGAAUGCAUUAACAGGGGUAGAGAACAUGGCAAGUGUCACAUAGACUUUAACUUUUCAUGGCUUUUAUCAUUAUGAUCAUCAUUUUUACUCGGACACACCUACGAAAAGACACUUAUGUCUUCCUCCACAUGCUGCCUGCUAAGGAUAUGCCUUAUUUCUAGGUCUGUGAGCUGCAUGUGUUAAAACGUGUUUGCAUUUGGGAUGGGGACUGAGGAAGCAUCUGGGGACUGGACAGAAGAGUUUCCCCAGGAUGCAGUACUUUGAACAAACCAUGGAUUCCAGAAAAGACAUCUGUUUCCAUCAAGAACUAACAUGGAAUAAUAACAAAGAAGAUGUGGCCACAUGCUCUCAGGUAGAAACUGAAGGUCAAAGAAGAGAUAUGAGAAGGAGUUUUCCCAUCAAGGGAGGUCCUUUUCUGAUGGAUGACUAAGCCCUGAGAAAUGCUUAGAAAUAGGCAAGAGGGGAUGAAUGCUGCUCUACAUUCAGGUAGCUUUUUGGCUUGGCAAAACUUUAAAAUGUGAUGAAAUCUCUAGAGAGCAAGAAAAAAAAGAUACAGAAAUGGAAAAACCCUUAUGGACCCCAACAACAACAACAACAACAAAACUGUUCUCUAUUACCAUGGUCCCAUCUAUUCCUAUUGAAAUGUAGACCAAGAUGGAUAAGAUGAAUAUUGUAUGUUGACACAGCAAAAUAAUCUGCAGUAACAAAGCCAUGCCUUUGCUUCCUAAAGUUAUCAGAAUGGCACCUUAAAAUUAUGGUCAUAAAGGAACCUGUGAUUGGCCAUACGUUUGAGUUUUCAAGAAGAGAUCUUACACGGAACAUGAGAAAACUACAGUGACUCUCUUGAGAUUUUUCGAAUGACACACAAGCACCAAAGAGGAACUUUUGCCUUUUCGGACAAGUUAAGUACAUUAAAUAUAAUAAGGUCUGAUAAAUCAGAAACAAAAAGUGAAAUUCAUGUUAAGGCCUCAACUCAGUGUUUUAGAAGAGAAUUUUUCUGGGUUUUAUAGUAUCUGACAGUUAAUAGGCCAGGCACAGUGGCUCACACCUGUAGUCUCAGCACUUUAGAAGACAGAGACAAGUGGAUCUCUUGAG